CAAUAGCGUAUAUUGAAGUUGCUGCAGUUAAAAAGCUCGUAGUUGCAUUUCCGAGGCAAGGGAUUAGUCCGACCUUUGGUGGGUAUUUAAUCCUCUUGCCUCGUCCUUGAGUGGUGCUUCUUGGUAUUAAGUUAUCGAGGAGAUAGCCGCUCAUCGUUUACUGUGAGAAAAUUAGAGUGUUCAAAGCAGGCUUAUGCCGUUGAAUAUAUUAGCAUGGAAUAAUAAGAUAGGACCUCGGUACUAUUUUGUUGGUUUGAGAACCAAGGUAAUGAUGAAUAGGGACAGUUGGGGGUAUUCGUAUUCAGUUGUCAGAGGUGAAAUUCUUAGAUUUACGGAAGACGAACUACUGCGAAAGCAUUUACCAAGGAUGUUUUCAUUAA
rnacentral:rRNA from 1 species